UACUAGAGUAGCACUCGCAUAUCAAUAAGCGGAGGAAAAGAAACUAACAAGGAUUCCCCUAGUAACGGCGAGUGAAGCGGGAAGAGCUCAAAUUUGAAAUCUUAAAGGGUUUCCCUUUACGAAUUGUAGUUUAAAGAAGUGUUUUCUGUUGAGGUUUUGGUAAAAGUUCUUUGGAAUAGGACAUCAUAGAGGGUGAGAAUCCCGUAUUUGACCUUUACUUUCAACUUUGUGAUACACUUUCAAAGAGUCGGAUUGUUUGGGAAUGCAGUCCAAAAUGGGUGGUAAAUUUCAUCUAAAGCUAAAUAUUGGCGAGAGACCGAUAGCGAACAAGUAGCCGUGAGGGAAAGAUGAAAAGAACUUUGAAAAGAGAGUUAAACAGUACGUGAAAUUGUCAAAAGGGAAGCGUUUGACACCAGUGUUGUUUUUCUGAAAAUCAAUUAAAGAACUGUUUAUGCUAAGCUGUUUAGACUUUAUCAGCUAACUGUUUAGUUUUGAGCUUUUCUUUAAUGCACUUUUCAGUUAACAAGUCAACAUCAAUUUCUUUUGCUGUAAAAAAGCUUGAGGAAGGUGGCUUGAGAUUCGUCUUAAGUGUUUAUAGCCUCUUGCCUAUGCAGUCGGAGAGAUUGAGGUCUGCAGCGUAGAUCCUUCGGGGCUAAAUGCAUUUGUGCUAAGUUAUAACAUUUUAUAGACAACUUGUUGACUAUGAUUUGUCUUGUAGCUUACUCGCUUAUGUUAUUUUACCUACGCUUAGGAUGUUGAGUCAUCACACAUCUCU
rnacentral:rRNA from 1 species